UUGAGCGCUGGCGGCAGGCCUAACACAUGCCCGUCGAACGGUAACAGAAAGCAGCUUGCUGCUUUGCUGACGCGUGGCGGACGGGUGAGUAAUGUCUGGGAAACUGCCUGAUGGAGGGGGAUAACUACUGGAAACGGUAGCUAAUACCGCAUAACGUCGCAAGACCAAAGAGGGGGACCUUCGGGCCUCUUGCCAUCGGAUGUGCCCAGAUGGGAUUAGCUAGUAGGUGGGGUAACGGCUCACCUAGGCGACGAUCCCUAGCUGGUCUGAGAGGAUGACCAGCCACACUGGAACUGAGACACGGUCCAGACUCCUACGGGAGGCAGCAGUGGGGAAUAUUGCACAAUGGGCGCAAGCCUGAUGCAGCCAUGCCGCGUGUAUGAAGAAGGCCUUCGGGUUGUAAAGUACUUUCAGCGGGGAGGAAGGGAGUAAAGUUAAUACCUUUGCUCAUUGACGUUACCCGCAGAAGAAGCACCGGCUAACUCCGUG
rnacentral:rRNA from 1 species